rnacentral:misc_RNA from 1 species
CUGGGUAGCGCCUCCACCGG